rnacentral:lncRNA from 1 species
AACUAUGAGCUUUUCUUAGGGAAUUGCACCUUGCUAGAUUCCGUUGCCUUGGGACCAUUUAGCAUUGUUUAAGGAUAACUUGGAACUUCAGGAAAAUUCAUGACUAGAUCACUCGUAUAAUCCCUCACUUCGAAAUUUGGAUGAUUUGAGCUUAAUCUUGCUUAUUUGAACUUAAUCUUGAUUUGUUAUAUCUCACUUAGGGGGUUGGUAAUCAUGUAAUGGAUCAUACAUUCAGAGUUUAAUCCGCGUUAUUUUACCACUAUUUGUAAACUCUGAAUGGCUAGACUCAUCUUUAGUCUAGUACCACACCUUUAACCCUAUCCAUGCUUCAUACGACAUGCAUUCUUGUGUCAUUGUCAUCAUGUGCAUUCAUGUGCAAAAAUUACGGAGUAUACAGACCGACAUAGCUUUCCUUUAGCUAGGAUUGUAAUUGUAGUUGUUUGGGAUGAUUGACAUUGAGUUCUUGUGGUUAUAUUGUCAUAUUUAUGAGCAUGUGCUGUGAGCGAUCAUGAUUAAGUUUUGUUGAUGCAGUUUCUGAGACGAACCGGUUCCACUCCCUCGUUAAAAAAAAAAAAGAAAAAAUG